rnacentral:rRNA from 1 species
CGGCUGCUAAUACCGCAUAAGCGCACAGAAUCGCAUGAUUCAGUGUGAAAAGCCCUGGCAGUAUAGGAUGGUCCCGCGUCUGAUUAGCUGGUUGGUGAGGUAACGGCUCACCAAGGCGACGAUCAGUAGCCGGCUUGAGAGAGUGAACGGCCACAUUGGGACUGAGACACGGCCCAAACUCCUACGGGAGGCAGCAGUGGGGAAUAUUGCACAAUGGGGGAAACCCUGAUGCAGCGACGCCGCGUGAGUGAAGAAGUAUUUCGGUAUGUAAAGCUCUAUCAGCAGGGAAGAAAACAGACGGUACCUGACUAAGAAGCCCCGGCUAACUACGUGCCAGCAGCCGCGGUAAUACGUAGGGGGCAAGCGUUAUCCGGAAUUACCGGGUGUAAAGGGUGCGUAGGUGGCAUGGUAAGUCAGAAGUGAAAGCCCGGGGCUUAANCCCCGGGACUGCUUUUGAAACUGUCAUGCUGGAGUGCAGGAGAGGUAAGCGGAAUUCCUAGUGUAGCGGUGAAAUGCGUAGAUAUUAGGAG